AGUAUUCCUAAAAGAUUCCAGAUCAUCCUUUGUUAAUUGCUGUGGUGUCAUGGAAAAAAAAAUCUUAUUUCAGGAUACAUUUUGUACAAAAUAAUUGUCAAGGAAUGUGUUUAUUGAGAAAAUUGCUCUGAGGACUUAGCCUCACUGCCAUGGUAAUGAUUUUUCAGUCUGUUAAAACUGAGCUGUACAAUGUGUACAUCACCCUGUGAAGAAGAUACAGUAGAGCAUUGCUUGUUGGGCAGCCUUUGCAUUCCAUGUCCACAGUAGCACUUUCAGACCGUGCAGAGAGGUAACAGUUAAAAAAGAUUUUCAUUCACAUGAAGCAAUUUUUUUCUAUGCUGUGAAAUCUUGUGUAGAAAUGUUGGAACGUCCCUAACGAAGCUUAUUUCUGCCUUAUAUAUAAGUACAUUUACGCAGCUGGUCCUUGUAGGGCAUAUCACCUUUUUUUCAUAAAUUAGUCUGCGGAUGCUGAGCAGAUUCCUGGCAUAAGCUGUUCUUGUCCCCAUCUACUUCUGUGCAGAGUUUUUAUUCCUCGAAGGAUUUGCCUCAUGCUCUUUGGGUUUCCCUUGAAGUGAAUUGGCACCUACCUAACUUGCAUAUAUUUUGAGGGAAGGAGUUGUGUGUUUCAGAUAAAACUGCUUUAUAAAGAAACAUAAUUGACUCAAUGGUUUACUACACAAGGAAGAGGGAAUGAUAUGGAGGACUUCAUGGCUGUACACUAAACUUAGUUUUUAAUGUUUUUGUGUUUGAGAAAGAACUUCACUGUAGGGAAGAAAUUGGCUUUCUUUUUGAGGCUUUUCAGGAGCCGUGCUUUAAGUUGAACCACUUGAUUCUUGCAUUUUCUAAAUUUUUAAGGAUGAAUGGAGAUCUGUUAUUUCAAAAGUCUUUUUAAGUCAUAUAGAUUUUCAGAUAGACACUGACUUAAAGGAGAAUACCUGUUGUUUACCUCCCCUGGUCCCCAGACAAAAGGAUGUAAAUAUGGGUGGUGAAUGCCGUGGGAGAUCAAACUGGCAUUUUUUUCUGUAGGUGAGAAUCUAAGACAAUAUAUACAAUUAAAACCAACUGCCUUGCCUACCAAAAGUAGUCCAUGCCUUCUGGCAUUCUUCACUGAAUGCCUCCUCUGUUCCCCUCCCAUGUAUAUGCAUCUCACAGUUUCUCUUC
ensembl:lncRNA